rnacentral:rRNA from 1 species
GACGAACCGUCCAAACGUUAUUCGGAAUCACUGGGCUUAAAGGGUGCGUAGGCGGCGCGGAAAGUUGGGUGUGAAAGCCCUCGGCUCAACCGAGGAAUUGCGCUCUAAACUGUCGUACUCGAGGAAGCUAGAGGUGAGCAGAACAGAUGGUGGAGCGGUGAAAUGCGUUGAUAUCAUCUGGAAUACCGGAGGCGAAGGCGGCUCACUGGGGCUUUUCUGACGCUGAGGAACGAAAGCCAGGGUAGCGAACGGG